GCAAUGGUGGUUCAGUGGUAGAAUUCUCGCCUUCCAUGCAGAAGACCUGGGUUUGAUUCCUGGCCGAUGCA
rnacentral:tRNA from 1 species